UAGCUCGUUGGUGGGGUAAUGGCUCACCAAGGCGACGAUCGGUAGGUGGUCUGAGAGGACGAUCACCCAGACUGGGACUGAGACACGGCUCAGACUCCUACGGGAGCAGCAGUCGGGAAUUUUGCUCAAUGGGGGAAACCCUGAAGCAGCAACGCCGCGUGCGGGAUGAAGGCCUUCGGGUUGUAAACCGCUUUUACCAGGGACGAUAAUGACGGUACCUGAUGAAUAAGUCACGGCUAACUACGUGCCAGCAGCCGCGGUAAUACGUAGGUGACUAGCGUUGUCCGGAUUUACUGGGCGUAAAGAGCGCGCAGGCGGUCGUUCAAGUCGAGUGUGAAAGCCCCCGGCUCAACUGGGGAGGGUCAUUCGAUGCUGAUCGACUCGAAGGCAGGAGAGGGAAGCGGAAUUCCCGGUGUAGUGGUGAAAUGCGUAGAUAUCGGGAGGAACACCAGUGGCGAAGGCGGCUUCCUGGCCUGUUCUUGACGCUGAGGCGCGAAACUAGGGGAGCAAACGGGAUUAGAUACCCCGGUAGUCCUAGCCGUAAACGAUGGACACUAGGUGUUGGUGGUAUCAACCCCACCAGUGCCGAAGCUAACGCAUUAAGUGUCCCGCCUGGGGAGUACGGCCGCAAGGCUAAAACUCAAAGGAAUUGACGGGGCCCCGCACAAGCAGCGGAGCGUGGGGUUUAAUUCGAUGCAACGCGAAGAACCUUACCAAGGCUUGACAUGACCAGGAAUCCGGCGGAAACGUCGGCGCCCCGCAAGGGGCCUGGCCACAGGUGUUGCAUGGCUGUCGUCAGCUCGUGUCGUGAGAUGUUGGGUUAAGUCCCGCAACGAGCGCAACCCCUAUCGUGUGUUGUAUCACUCACACGAGACUGCCGAGAGAAACUCGGAGGAAGGCGGGGAUGACGUCAAGUCAGCAUGGCCCUUACGUCUUGGGCUACACCCACGCUACAAUGGCCGGUACAACGGGCGGCGAAACCGCGAGGUGGAGCAAAUCCCUUAAAGCCGGUCUCAGUUCGGAUUGUAGGCUGCAACUCGCCUACAUGAAGCCGGAGUUGCUAGUAACCGCCGGUCAGCAUACGGCGGUGAAUAUGUUCCCGGGGCUUGUACACACCGCCCGUCACGUCAUGAAAGCUGGCAACACCCGAAGCCGGUGGGCCAACCCGCAAGGGAGGCAGCCGUCGAAGGUGGGGUCGGUGAUUGGGACGAAGUCGUAACAAGGUAGCCGUACCGGAAGGUGCGGCUG
rnacentral:rRNA from 1 species